AUAUUCAGAUAUCUACCUGAUACCCAGGUUUAUCAAGCUCUACCUGACCAAUAGACACCCUCAUGAUGUUGAGAGUCUAUUUUGUUGUCUAUAAUAGUAUAGGCUAGCUAGUACAUGCUCUCUUUCUAAUGUUUCUGUGUGGUGUACAUAUGUUGCAUGUAAACUAAUUAACUUGAGCCUCCUCCUAACUUUUAUCCUCUUAAAGGUCUAAUUCUUAAGUAUGGGC
rnacentral:lncRNA from 1 species